UCGCUCACAGGCCCCCACGAUAGGCCACCACGCGCCCUUGUCCAGACAGGUCCGGGUCACGCAGGGGGUGCAGGGAGACGCCGCUGAUUCCAAGUCCAGUCGUGCCACCUCCUGAGCCUCGGUGGCCUAAGUGGAGAAGGAGGCCGUGUGGUCCCCACGUGGACGCUGCUGCGCAGGUGAAAAGUGAGCACCCUGAAGGCGUCGUGUGCAGGGAGCCACCAGCUCGUUACCCUGUUGCACAUGUGCUGGGGGCUCCGCCUGCUGGGUCCUGUGCACUGUUCACAUGAAAGUGACAAAACUGACAAACAGCCCAGUUACAUUACAACAAAGGGAGACAGAAAAUUCAAAACAAGUAAAACGCAGGCACGUUACGUAUGUGCUAUACUGAGGAGGAGGAAGAGGCAGGAAGCAAGGGGAGGGCCCGUGAGAAAGGUCAUGCAGGUAACCUGAUGAGUGUCCCAGGGAGAGGGAGCAACCAGUGCAAAGGCCCUGGGGUAGGACCAGGAUGAACGUGCUGCUCAUGUUUUACUCCACUGUAGUCUUUCCAGGCUCCUCUCCCUCUGUCUCCCUUCACACACACUCUCCAGCCAAAUAACCCACUUGAGCCUCAGAGGGUUUUAUAAGGAGGAAGCAGAUGUAGAAAUAGAUUCACAUUCCAGAAAGCUGCCACAGCAGCCUAGGAGUGAGCCUGGAGGCAGGGAGGUCAGUU
rnacentral:lncRNA from 1 species